AGAGUUUGAUCCUCGGCUCAGGAUGAACGCUGGCGGCGUGCCUAAUACAUGCAAGUCGAACGCACUGUGGUUCAACUGAUUUGAAGAGCUUGCUCUGAUAUGACGAUGAACAUUGCAGUGAGUGGCGAACGGGUGAGUAACACGUGGGAAACCUACCUCUUAGCGGGGGAUAACAUCUGGAAACAGAUGCUAAUACCGCAUAACAGUAGCAACCGCAUGGUUGCUACUUGAAAGAUGGUUCUGCUAUCACUAAGAGAUGGUCCCGCGGCGCAUUAGUUAGUUGGUGAGGUAAUGGCUCACCAAGACGAUGAUGCGUAGCCGAGUUGAGAGACUGAUCGGCCACAAUGGGACUGAGACACGGCCCAUACUCCUACGGGAGGCAGCAGUAGGGAAUCUUCCACAAUGGACGAAAGUCUGAUGGAGCAACGCCGCGUGUGUGAUGAAGGGUUUCGGCUCGUAAAACACUGUUGUAAGAGAAGAAUAGCAUCAAGAGUAACUGCUUGGUGUGUGACGGUAUCUUACCAGAAAGGAACGGCUAAAUACGUGCCAGCAGCCGCGGUAAUACGUAUGUUUCCAAGCGUUAUCCGGAUUUAUUGGGCGUAAAGCGAGCGCAGACGGUUUUUUAAGUCCGAAGUGAAAGCCCACAGCUUAACUGUGGAAGUGCUUUGGAAACUGGAUGGACUUGAGUGCAGUAGAGGAGAGUGGAAUUUCCAUGUUGUAGCGGUGAAUGCGUAGAUUAUGUGGAGGAACACCAGUGGCGAAGCUGCUCUCUGGACUGUAACUGACGUUGAGCUUCGAAAGUGUGGUAGCAAAC
rnacentral:rRNA from 1 species